rnacentral:rRNA from 1 species
UAGUGGCGGACGGGUGAGUAACGCGUGAGGAACCUGCCUUUCAGAGGGGGACAACAGUUGGAAACGACUGCUAAUACCGCAUGAAGCAGCGAGAUCACAUGGUCUUGCUGCCAAAGAUUUAUCGCUGAAAGAUGGCCUCGCGUCUGAUUAGAUAGUUGGUGAGGUAACGGCUCACCAAGUCGACGAUCAGUAGCCGGACUGAGAGGUUGAACGGCCACAUUGGGACUGAGAUACGGCCCAGACUCC